GACGAACGCUGGCGGCGUGCUUAACACAUGCAAGUCGAACGAAGAGCGAUGGAAGCUUGCUUCUAUCAAUCUUAGUGGCGAACGGGUGAGUAACGCGUAAUCAACCUGCCCUUCAGAGGGGGACAACAGUUGGAAACGACUGCUAAUACCGCAUACGAUCUAAUCUCGGCAUCGAGGAUAGAUGAAAGGUGGCCUCUACAUGUAAGCUAUCACUGAAGGAGGGGAUUGCGUCUGAUUAGCUAGUUGGAGGGGUAACGGCCCACCAAGGCGAUGAUCAGUAGCCGGUCUGAGAGGAUGAACGGCCACAUUGGGACUGAGACACGGCCCAGACUCCUACGGGAGGCAGCAGUGGGGAAUCUUCCGCAAUGGACGAAAGUCUGACGGAGCAACGCCGCGUGAGUGAUGACGGCCUUCGGGUUGUAAAGCUCUGUUAAUCGGGACGAAAGGCCUUCUUGCGAACAGUUAGAAGGAUUGACGGUACCGGAAUAGAAAGCCACGGCUAACUACGG
rnacentral:rRNA from 1 species